rnacentral:lncRNA from 1 species
UUUAUGAACUUAAACAAUACAAACAAUCUUCAAGUAUUAAAAUGUUAAUUUAUAUUAUACCAACUAAGAUCUGCCUAAUUAUAAUUUUUUUGUGGUUUUGUAGUGUUGAUGCAGCCAAAGACGAUGGGUCAUUUGGAAGACUAAUAAAUGACAACCACAUAAACCCAAACGCCAAGAUGAAGUGCUUGACCCUGCAAGGGAAGCCACACUUGUGUUUGUUUGCAACCCGAGACAUAAGUCCAGGAGAAGAGCUCACCUAUAAUUAUGGCAACUCAGACUGGCCAAGGAGAUCCAAAGUGGAGUCUGCAGAAAGUUCGAUGGAGGAGCAGCACGCUGUGUCAUCAUCCACAUCAGAGCCUUCUACAAGUGCUUGCAAGGUGCCAACAAGACGGUGGCAAAAAAAGGCUAGAGCUACAUCAAGCUAUGAUAAGGGAACCACUGAAAAUAGCACAACACAGUUCAUCAGUUCAAAUGAAAUGGAUCCAGUUGUCUGCAAUAAAAAGGUACAGUAUAUUGUAUGCCAUGUUAAUAUUAUGUUACUUUUAUAUGGUUUCCUAGAUAUCAGUAUGUGAAUUUAAAA